rnacentral:lncRNA from 1 species
UUUUUUUAUAGUCUAAUACUUGUAGUCGGAUUUUGGUCCAAUUUUAUAACUUUUUGUUGACAAUAAAUGAAAAUAUUUCUAAAUUUGAACUCUUAUUUUUUGGAAUGUCUGCAAUGUCUGCAAUGUAAAAUAACCACCAAAUAUUGAUCGAUAAUCCGAUCAUUCGAUAAGACUCAUAGAAUAUCAGUUGGUCGCGUAGUCCUCAAUGUAUUUUGAUGG